AUACGGAGGACGCGAGCGUUAUCCGGAUUCAUUGGGUUUAAAGGGUGCGCAGGCGGCCGUGCAAGUCAGCGGUGAAAGCCCGGGGCUCAACCCCGGAAGUGCCGUUGAUACUGCAUGGCUGGAAUGCGGUCGAGGCGGGCGGAACGGGGCGUGGAGCGGUGAAAUGCGUAGAUAUGCCACAGAACGCCGAUAGCGGAGGCAGCUCGCCAGGCCUGCAUGGACGCUCGGGCACGAAAGCGUGGGGAUCGAACAGGAUUAGAUACCCUGGUAGUCCACGCCGUAAACGAUGGGCGCUCGUCGUCGGCGGCAGACAGUCGGCGGCCAAGCGAAAGCGAUAAGCGCCCCACCUGGGGAGUACGGUCGCAAGGCUGAAACUCAAAUGAAUUGACGGGG
rnacentral:rRNA from 1 species